UGGCGGACGGGUGAGUAAUGUCUGGGAAACUGCCUGAUGGAGGGGGAUAACUACUGGAAACGGUAGCUAGUACCGCAUAACGUCGCAAGACCAAAGAGGGGACCUUCGGGCCUCUUGCCAUCGGAUGUGCCCAGAUGGGAUUAGCUAGUAGGUGGGGUAACGGCUCACCUAGGCGACGAUCCCUAGCUGGUCUGAGAGGAUGACCAGCCACACUGGAACUGAGACACGGUCCAG
rnacentral:rRNA from 1 species